rnacentral:rRNA from 1 species
UACAGAGGUUACAAGCGUCAUCCGGAUUUAUUGGGCGUAAAGCGUUUCGUAGGCGAUUUGGAAAGUUAUUCUUCAAAGACCACGGCUUAACCGGGGGAAGGGGAGUAAUACUACCAGAAUUGAAUAGUGGUGGGGCUUCUGGAACUGAUGGUGUAGUAGUGAAAUACGUUGAUAUCAUCAGGAACUCCGAGGGCGAAGGCAGGAAGCUAAUCAAUUAUUGACGCUGAGGAACGACAGCUAGGGGAGCGAAAGGG